rnacentral:rRNA from 1 species
AUUGAACGCUGGCGGCAGGCCUAACACAUGCAAGUCGAGCGACCGGCGGACGGGUGAGUACUGUCUGUGAACCUGCCUGUUGGAGGGAGAUAACUACUGGAAACGGUAGCUAAUACCGCAUACCAUCAGAUCUGCCCAGGUGGGAUUAGCUAGUAGGUGGGGUAACGGCGCACCUAGGCGACGAUCCCUAGCUGGUCUGAGAGGAUGACCAGCCAAACUGGAACUGAGACACGGUCCAGACUCCUACGGGAGGCAGCAGUGGGGAAUAUGGCACAAUGGGCGAAAGCCUGAUGCAGCCAUGCCGCGUGUGUGAAGAAGGCCUUCGGAUUGUAAAGCACUUUAAGCGGGGAGGCGUUACCCGCAGAAGAAGCACCGGCUAACUCCGUGCCAGCAGCCGCGGUAAUAC